rnacentral:rRNA from 1 species
UACGUAGGGGGCGAGCGUUAUUCGGAUUUACUGGGCGUAAAGCGCGCGUAGGCGGCCACUUAAGUCGGAUGUGAAAGCCCUUGGCUCAACUGAGGAAGUGCACCCGAAACUGAAUGGCUUGAGUACUAAAGAGGGUCGCGGAAUUCCCGGUGUAGAGGUGAAAUUCGUAGAUAUCGGGAGGAACACCGGUGGCGAAGGCGGCGACCUGGGUAGAUACUGACGCUGAGGCGCGAAAGCGUGGGGAGCAAACAGG